AAUGAACGCUGGCGGCAUGCCUAACACAUGCAAGUCGAACGAGACCUCCGGGUCUAGUCGCGCAUGGGUGUGUAACGCGUGGGAAUCUGCCCUCGGGUUUGGAAUAACAGUUGGAAACGGCUGCUAAUACCGGAUGAUGACGUAAGUCCAAUGAUUUAUCGCCCAAGGGUGAGCGCGCGUAGGAUUAGCUAGUUGGUGAGGUAAAGGCUCUCAAAGGCGACGAUGCUUAGCUGGUAUGAGAGGAUGGUCAGCAACACUGGGACAGAGACACGGCCCGAACUCCUACGGAAGGCAGCAGGGGGGAAUAUGGAACAAUGGGCGAGUGCCUAAGCCAGCAGUGCCGCGUAAGUGAUGAAGGAGUUAGGAUUGUAAGGCUCUUUUACCCGGGAUGAUAAUGACGGUACCAGGAGAAUAAGCUCCGGCAAACUCCGU
rnacentral:rRNA from 1 species